GUGGGGAAUAUUGGGCAAUGGGGGAAACCCUGACCCAGCAACGCCGCGUGAGGGAAGAAGGUUUUCGGAUUGUAAACCUCUGUCCUUGGUGACGAAGGAAGUGACGGUAGCCAAGGAGGAAGCCCCGGCUAACUACGUGCCAGCAGCCGCGGUAAUACGUAGGGGGCAAGCGUUGUCCGGAAUGACUGGGCGUAAAGGGCGUGUAGGCGGCCGAUUAAGUCUGGAGUGAAAGUCCUGCUUUCAAGGUGGGAAUUGCUUUGGAGACUGGUUGGCUUGAGUGCGGAAGAGGUAAGUGGAAUUCCCAGUGUAGCGGUGAAAUGCGUAGAGAUUGGGAGGAACACCAGUGGCGAAGGCGACUUACUGGGCCGUAACUGACGCUGAGGCACGAAAGCGUGGGGAGCGAACAGGAUUAGAUACCCCAGUAGUCC
rnacentral:rRNA from 1 species